rnacentral:rRNA from 1 species
UCGAACCCUGCAAAGCAGAACGACCCGUGAACACGUAAAAACAACUGAGCGUCGAGUGGAUUAAGCAUUUGUUUGAUCCUCUCGAUGCUUUGUCGAUGUGCAUUUACUUGUGUUCUUUUUAGGACCUGGUGAAUGUGUCAUUGACGCAAUAACAACCCCCGGCACAAUGUGUGCCAAGGAAAACUAAACUUGAGAAGGCUUGUUUCAUGUUGCCCCGUNGGUGNGCUCAUGGAAUGUGGCUUCUUUUUAAAUCGCGUCGCCCCCAACAAAUAUCUGUUGGGGCGGAUAUUGGUCUCCCGUGCCCAUGGUGUGGUUGGCCAAAAUAAGAGUCCCUUCGAUGGACACACGAACUAGUGGUGGUCGUAAAAACCCUCGUUCUUUGUUCUGUGUUAGUCGCAAGGAAAAACUCUUCAAAUACCCCAACGNGUUGUCUUAGGAUGACGCUUCGACCG